rnacentral:rRNA from 1 species
GAUGGUUAGCUGGUCUGAGAGGAUGAUCAGCCACACUGGAACUGACACACGGUCCAGACUCCUACGGGAGGCAGCAGUGAGGAAUUUUGCGCAAUGGGGGAAACCCUGACGCAGCAACGCCGCGUGAGUGAUGAAGGCUUUCGGGUCGUAAAGCUCUGUCAAGUGGGAAGAACUUGUCUGGUGCGAAUACCACCGGACACUGACGGUACCACUGAAGGAAGUACCGGCUAACUCCGUGCCAGCAGCCGCGGUAAUACGGGGGGUGCAAGCGUUAUUCGGAAUCAUUGGGCGUAAAGGGCGCGUAGGCGGCCUCUUAAGUCAGAUGUGAAAGCCCGGGGCUUAACCCCGGAAGUGCAUUUGAAACUGAGAAGCUUGAGUAUGGGAGAGGGAAGUGGAAUUCCUGGUGUAGAGGUGAAAUUCAUAGAUAUCAGGAGGAACACCGGUGGCGAAGGCGGCUUCCUGGACCAAUACUGACGCUGAGGCGCGAAGGCGUGGGUAGCAAACAGGAUUAGAUACCCUGGUAGUCCACGCAGUAAACGUUGAACACUAGGUGUAGCGGGUAUUGACCCCUGCUGUGCCGCAGUUAACGCAUUAAGUGUUCCGCCUGGGAAGUACGGCCGCAAGGUUAAAACUCAAAGGAAUUGACGGGGGCCCGCACAAGCGGUGGAGCAUGUGGUUUAAUUCGACGCAACGCGAAGAACCUUACCUGGGUUUGACAUCCCGAGAAGUCUCUUGAAAGAGAGAUGUGCCCUUCGGGGAAUUCGGAGACAGGUGCUGCAUGGCUGUCGUCAGCUCGUGUCGUGAGAUGUUGGGUUAAGUCCCGCAACGAGCGCAACCCUUAUCUUUAGUUACCAGCAUUCAGUUGGGGACUCUAAAGAUACUGCCCCGGUUAACGGGGAGGAAGGUGGGGAUGACGUCAAGUCCUCAUGGCCCUUAUACCCAGGGCUACACACGUGCUACAAUGGGCUGUACAAAGGGUCGCGAGCCCGCGAGGGUUAGCUAAUCCCAGAAAGCAGCUCUAAGUUCGGAUUGGAGUCUGCAACUCGACCCCAUGAAGCUGGAAUCGCUAGUAAUCGUGGAUCAGCACGCCACGGUGAAUACGUUCCCGGGCCUUGUACACACCGCCCGUCACACCAUGAGAGUUGGUUGUACCAGAAGUUGUUGGACCAACCCGCAAGGGGGGUAAGCACCUAAGGUGUGGCUGAUGGUUGGGGUGAAGUCGAAACAAGGUA